rnacentral:rRNA from 1 species
UACAGGGGGUGCAAACGUUGCUCGGAAUCAUUGGGCGUAAAGCGCACGUAGGCGGUUCGUUAUGUCGGAUGUGAAAGCCCUUGGCUUAACCGAGGAAGUGCAUCCGAAACUGGCGAGCUAGGGUACUAAAGAGGAUCGCGGAAUUCCCGGUGUAGAGGUGAAAUUCGUAGAUAUCGGGAGGAACACCGGUGGCGAAGGCGGCGAUCUGGGUAGAUACUGACGCUGAGGUGCGAAAGCGUGGGGAGCAAACAGG